rnacentral:rRNA from 1 species
UACGUAGGUGGCAAGCGUUGUCCGGAUUUACUGGGCGUAAAGAGCGCGCAGGCGGUCGUUCAAGUCGCGUGUGAAAGCCCCCGGCUCAACUGGGGAGGGUCACGCGAUACUGAUCGACUCGAAGGCAGGAGAGGGAAGUGGAAUUCCCGGUGUAGUGGUGAAAUGCGUAGAGAUCGGGAGGAACACCAGUGGCGAAAGCGGCCGACUGGACCUGUCCUGACGCUGAGGCGCGAAAGCGUGGGGAGCGAACAGG